rnacentral:misc_RNA from 1 species
GAUGAAGAACUUAGCGAAAUGCGAUACGUAAUGUGAAUUGCAGAAUUCAGUGAAUCAUCGAAUCUUUGAACGCAUAUUGCGCUCUCUGGUAUUCCGGAGAGCAUGCUUGUUUGAGUAUCAGUAAACACCUCAACUUCCAUAUCUUUUUUGAAAUGGGAGUUGGACUUGAGUGAUCCCAACGCUUUUCCUCACCGAAAAGUGGCGGGUUACUUGAAAUGCAGGUGCAGCUGGACUUUUCUCUGAGCUAUAAGCAUAUCUAUUUAGUCUGCCUAAAAAACAGAUUAUUACCUUUGCUGCAGCUAACAUAAAGGAGAUUAGUUCUUGUGCUGACUGAUGCAGGAUUCACAAAGACGGCUUCGGCCGACUUUGUAAACUCGAUCUCAAAUCAAGUAAGACUACCCGCUGAACUUAAGCAUAUCAAUAAGCGGAGGA